rnacentral:lncRNA from 1 species
AAACCCUGUGGGUUGCUUGCCCUGUGGUUGUAUCAGCUUCCUUGCUUUCUUCAAAGGUGACCUAUUCCACAAUUGAGGGAUGUAAGAGGCAUAGCAAACUUGGGCUUAUUAAUGAACACAUCUUUAACGUCAGAACUACUUACCCCAUCACUUCCAGUCCUCCUUGUUUUGGAUGAAGUAUGGUAAGCUCCAUUAGCACCACCAUAAGUGACAGUGGAGCUCUGAAACGCAAAGCUACGAGUUUGAGGCUGUUGCUGUUGUCUAUCAUACAAACUAUUGUAACCAUUCAUAUAUUGCAAAUGCCUGUUCCUUCUCUCAGACUGUCCA